UGGUUUCUUUAAAUAGCAAGUUCCACUGUUGCACUGAAAAUAUUUCCUUUUAAAAAUCCUAGAUUAUUUUACAGGAAUCCAUUUGUUAUGUUAAGUAAGAUUCACCCAUGUGGAUAUUGGAGUGGAUGAUUAGCUAACAUGCCUGAAAAUAUUAGAAUGUACUUGUGUUUUUAUAUAAAUAUAUGAUGUGUCUAAGAAGUUCCCUUAUAAAAAUGGCAAGCAGAUAUAUAACCUGUCAAUAAUAUCUUAUACCUAUAUUUGUAUACAUCACUGGGAGGACAAGCAAAAGCAAUGGACUUCAUGGUGGACUGGGUGAUCAAUUUCCUUUUCUAUCAAAACAGUUUCUGACUGAGGAUGGUGAGCUGUUCAUGUAUAGAUAUGGACAGAAGCUCUCAAGACUAAAACCCUUAAUAUUUCACUUUGUAAUGCAAUCAGAGUGAUAGCUGAGAAGAUUACUAAAGGGCACAUAAUAGCCUAGAACAAUCCACCACAGCAGGGUAGCUAGGUCAUCUAUGUAAGCCCCAGUAUUAAAUAGAACAACCCCAUCAAUAAUCUUAGGCUUGAACAGACAACUUGUCCUAAAGAAAAAUAUCUGAAUGCAGAGUCAGUGACAUUCCUCUAUCACAGGCUGUGUGGAGGCCCAAGGUCCUCAAAAAGUCAGACCGUCCAUCAGAGCUUCUGUUGAAUUCGGCAGAGUCCACCUUGAUCCCUGUACCUAACCUUGUUCUUCCAAGUCUCAAUAGCAACAGCUUCCAUCUUCACAAUGCAGACACAGAGAGGUGCAUGAAAACAUAUAUGACUCGCAAACCAGGCAUAAUGGCACACCUGCAAUCCGAGAAGUGAGGAAGUAGAGGCAGGAGGAUUGGAAGAUCCUGGUCAGCUUUGGCUACAUGAGACCCUGUCUCAAAAAAAACAAAUCAAAACAAAAAACAAAAACAAAACAAAAACAAAACACUAUCUUCUUAGUUUGAUGAAGCACUGCUGGCACAAAAGAUAAGUUAUAUAUUUUUAAGACAGAAAUAUUAUUAAUGUUGAUCCUAACAUAGAUAUAUACCCUACAAGGUAUAACCUGCCUUUUAAAUGGGUCAUUUAUAAGUAUAAAACUGUGCCCAAGAUCUUCUGUUUGGGGUUACAUAAUCAAUUCCUGCCAACCAGAACCUAUGACCCAGAUUUGGUCAUGAUAUGCACACCAUAAAUAUGUACAGUAACUAUACCAAUCAAAAGAAUAAAACAGCUUUUAGAAUUUUUAAAUGAAUAUAUUUUAGAAAGACCAAAACUUAUCGGAAUGCCAUUUUUGUGAAGGAUCUUUUUAGGGGCGGUCUGGGUCUCACACGGCCUUUGUUUGCCUGCACUCUAAAGAAGUAUCCUAGGCCCUGUCUUCACCCCUCCAGACUCCGGGGGGGGUGCACUUUAAAGUCAUCUUCGUCAUUUUGUGUUUGUUGUGAGCAGUUUUCUCUGGCUGGCUAGACGUACAGCGACUCCGUGUCAUUUACUCUGUGACUCUGUCUGUACAUAACUGGAAUUCGGAUGGCAAACUGUACAUAGGCUGUUUGGAGUGGUGUGCUUGGGUCACGUGGUCUCACUCUGGUAAAGGGUUUCCUUCCAUGUUCCACUGUCUGCAUCCUUGUGCUUAUACUGCUGAUAACUUACUGAAUACACUUUAUGUAACUAAGUCUCCUCAGUGUAAAAGUAAUAAUAAUAAAACAAUUGACUCC
rnacentral:lncRNA from 1 species